rnacentral:rRNA from 1 species
GACGAACGCUGGCGGCGUGCUUAACACAUGCAAGUCGAGCGGAAAGGCCACUUCGGUGGUACUCGAGCGGCGAACGGGUGAGUAACACGUGAGUAAUCUGCCCCUGGCUUUGGGAUAGCCACCGGAAACGGUGAUUAAUACCGGAUAUGACAUUUGACCGCAUGGUUGGGUGUGGAAAGUUUUUCGGCCGGGGAUGUGCUCGCGGCCUAUCAGCUUGAUGGUGAGGUAAUGGCUCACCAUGGCUUCGACGGGUAGCCGGCCUGAGAGGGUGACCGGUCACACUGGGACUGAGACACGGCCCAGACUCCUACGGGAGGCAGCAGUGGGGAAUAUUGGACAAUGGGCGGAAGCCUGAUCCAGCAACGCCGCGUGA